rnacentral:rRNA from 1 species
UGCCACUCUUAACGGGGUGGCUUUUCAGAAGUGUAAACAGCUUCUGGAAUAAGGGCUGGGCAAGACCGAUGCCAGCCGCCGCGGUAACACCGGCAGCUCAAGUGGUAGCCGCUUUUAUUGGGCCUAAAGCGUCCGUAGCCGGUCUGAUAAGUCUCUGGUGAAAUCCCACAGCUUAACUGUGGGAAUUGCUGGAGAUACUAUCAUGACUCGAGGUCGGGAGAGGCUGGAGGUACUCCCAGGGUAGGGGUGAAAUCCUGUAAUCCUGGGAGGACCACCUGUGGCGAAGGCGUCCAGCUGGAACGAACCUGACGGUGAGGGACGAAAGCCAGGGGCGCGAACCGGAUUAGAUACCCGGGUAGUCCUGGCCGUAAACGAUGUGGACUUGGUGUUGAGAUGGCUUCGAGCUGCCCCAGUGCCGAAGGGAAGCUGUUAAGUCCACCGCCUGGGAAGUACGGCCGCA